AAAGGGACUGGGCAUUUAUUGCAUGUGUGCAGCCGGUGUGUUUCAUUGGUGUCUUUAUCAUGAUCAGCAUCUUUUAAUGCAAUAACAUUGUGCUGGUCAAUUUAGGGGGCAGUGCCACCCCAAGGUCACCACGUGAACAUGUUUACUUAAGUCUGGUGUUUGUGCGUCACUGUCUGAACAGGCUUAUAAAGAAGAACUCUCAAAGGCGCUCAAAGGCACUCAAUUUUUCUCCUCUGAGACGAAAAAAACAGGUAUGUUUUAUAUUUUACCACUUCUAAAACCGAAAAGGGAUGUGAUUCCACUUUUUUUAGAGGCAAAAAUGUACCUUAAUAACAAAGAGCAUCAAAGUAUUCUCAAAUUGCCUAUUUAUCUGAAAGUUUUGCUGUAACCUAAGCUGACUUAUAUUAUUGUUGUUAUGACGACACCUGUGUUAAACGCAGUAAACAUGGUACAAAAAACAAAUAAACAAAUUUUUAAAAAACUAAGUUUAAAUGAACUGAAUAUGAAGUUUUAAUGGUUAAUUGUACAUGAACAUUUUAACGGACGGUAUGUAAAGGGAGCUGUCCAGGGGCAGUGGUGCUGACAUAAGAAGGCGCUAAAAAAAAACAAAAAAACAAAAACUAAAUAAAGCUGCUCUUUCACUUUUGGCCAUCGUGCAAUGAAAGCAGUUUUGUGAGCACAUGAAGAAAGAUCUGUCUCUGUUCUUCGUCAGUAACAAACAGCCAAGAUGAGACUGUACCUCGCGGUUGCCGUGCUGCUGCUGGCUUUGGUCGCAUUUGCAGAGGCUCAGGAUGAUAACGUGCAGCAGAAGUUAAGCGAGUUGGGCGAACAGAUCACCGAGGUGGGAAAGAAAGCGUCUGAGAAAUUGAACGAGUUUGCUGGCAGGGCCAGGGACUGGGGCAGUGACCUGUUUGAGAAAGUGAAGGCCGGGUGGGGACAACUUACGAAUUAGACGAGGAGACUUGCCCCUGUCACCAGCCUGAACCUGCCCUCACCUCUGACAUCUGACUUCUUCACCAUUCAUGGUGGGAGGCUGAUAUGUCAACAGGACACAUUGUUCUGCAGAUUGACUUGUCCAAAUGGUUACAUUGUCUCUCUGUAAGGAUUUUUUUGUUGUUGUUGAGUGUACUGUUAAUUUGUGUAAACUGUGAAAAAAGUGCAAUAAAGACAUAAAAAGUAUUUUUAAUUACAAAUUCUUUGUCAUCGUCUCUAUUAAUGAAUAAGAACAAUGUCUGUACUCGAUUACAGCAUUUUGAAAGUCUGUUAAAUAUGUUUGACAUAAAUAAAUGAAAUUUAGUUCUCUUUGACC
ensembl:lncRNA